AGUGGCUCUUCUUAAACAAUGGUUCUACUGUGAGCAGGAAGGUUGGGAGUUUUGAUGAGUCAAAUGAAGAGAAUCAGCUUUACAUUAAUUCCAGUGCUGAUUGGUGGAGCCCAUACUUCCCAGAGAUGCCUCGGUCCCUAUGCAGCGAGCCCUGUUCCCCAGGAUACAGGAAGUCUAAAAUAGAAGGGGAGCCCCCUUGUUGUUACGACUGUGUCCAGUGUGGAGAUGGGGAAAUGUCUAACACUACAGAUGCAGUGACCUGUGUAAAAUGCCCUGAAGACCAG